GUCAUUUGGUGUAAGAUCAGAUGACAAAGAAGAUGGUGCAGGUCAUGUAUCAUUGGUUUCGGGUCUUCUAGAAUAAACAUGAAUAAUUGGUGGUUUUGGUGGAGCUAACUGCUUAAAAGAAGAUCUUUCAACAUGUGACUGUUCAACAGGAGGAAUACUAUUAAUUGACUGCUCAAAAGAACCAUCACCUUCAUCUGAAUCAUCCUCUGAUCGUUUAGUAGUGAUACUUGGAGAAGUGAUUUUAUAGAUUAGCCACUUUUCUUCCUCUCCCUAACACGGAGAUGUGGACAAUGAGGAAAAGAAUUGUGUUUUCUUAGAAAAGACACAUCAGUGGAAACAAAGUAUUUGUUGAGAUUUGGAGAGAACCACCGAUAACCCUUCUGAAGGCGAGAAUAUCCUAGAAACAUGCACUUCAAAGCUUUGGGAUCUAGCUUAGUAAUAUGCGGCCUUACAUCACGAACAUAGCAUGUGCUACCAAACACCCGUGGCUCCACCGGAAACAAUGGCUUGUUAGGAAAAAGGACAUUGUACGGAAUGUCACCAUAAAGAAAUAAAAGAAAUAAAGAAAUAAAAUUUUCAGAUUAAGAAUUACU
rnacentral:misc_RNA from 1 species